rnacentral:rRNA from 1 species
AACGAACGCUGGCGGCAGGCUUAACACAUGCAAGUCGAGCGCCCCGCAAGGGGAGCGGCAGGCGGGUGAGUAACGCGUGGGAAUCUACCCAUCUCUACGGAAUAACGCAUGGAAACGUGUGCUAAUACCGUAUACGUCCUUCGGGAGAAAGAUUUAUCGGAGAUGGAUGAGCCCGCGUUGGAUUAGCUAGUUGGUGGGGUAAGGGCCUACCAAGGCGACGAUCCAUAGCUGGUCUGAGAGGAUGAGCAGCCACACUGGGACUGAGACACGGCCCAGACUCCUACGGGAGGCAGCAGUGGGGAAUAUUGGGCAAUGGGCGCAAGCCUGAUCCAGCCAUGCCGCGUGAGUGAUGAAGGCCCUAGGGUUGUAAAGCUCUUUCACCGGUGAAGAUAAUGACGGUAACCGGAGAAGAAGCCCCGGCUAACUUCGUGCCAGCCGCCGCCGUAACAC